CGGAAUUAUUGGGCGUAAGCGCGCGCAGGCGGUUUCUUAAGUCUGAUGUGAAAGCCCACGGCUCAACCGUGGAGGGUCAUUGGAAACUGGGGAACUUGAGUGCAGAAGAGAAAAGCGGAAUUCCACGUGUAGCGGUGAAAUGCGUAGAGAUGUGGAGGAACACCAGUGGCGAAGGCGGCUUUUUGGUCUGUAACUGACGCUGAGGCGCGAAAGCGUGGGGAGCAAACAGGAUUAGAUACCCUGGUAGUCCACGCCGUAAACGAUGAGUGCUAAGUGUUAGAGGGUUUCCGCCCUUUAGUGCUGCAGCUAACGCAUUAAGCACUCCGCCUGGGGAGUACGGUCGCAAGACUGAAACUCAAAGGAAUUGACGG
rnacentral:rRNA from 2 species